GUGUGUGUGAGAGUGUGUGUUGGAGGAACAGGGAGCAACACUAAAAAGUAGAGAAGUACAACAUAUCACUGUUACAGAGAAAGCUUGGGAGGCUGGCUGGAUUGGAUGAAGGCAACCAAAAAACAGCUGAAAAGGAAAGAAAAGAGAGAGACUGGAUGGAGGAAGAAACCCCUAAAUGAUUGACAAAGCUUCCUCCUACUCAAGAUGUCUUGGUUUCUUGAAUUAUCCUUUUUUCGUCAUGGAGCUUCUAAAGCACUUGCUGCCAAAGGAGCCGGAAGGGCUAAUGGAAGGUGGUGGCUGGCAGUUCAAGGUCUUUUUCACUCAUCUCCCCAACGGAUUGCUUCCUGUUAGGAGGUCAUGUUUGUGUGAUGCUGCUUUCACCCCCAGCUUCCCCACUUGUCUGGGGUGACACAUGAGGACCGAAGAAGCUUCCAUUACAAGACUGUGCGUUCCAUCACCAUUGUUCAAAUAUGGAAUUGUUGGCCUCUC